AUGGCCUGGACACUAUGGCGCCACUGCAACGCGGCCAUCUUCGACAAGAUCACUCCUUCUACCUCAACCAUUAUCACCACAAUCAAGGACGAUGCUCGCUCCUGGUCCAUUGCCCGAGACAAAGGACUUAGCGAUUUUAUCCCUGUAACUUGA
rnacentral:rRNA from 1 species